rnacentral:rRNA from 1 species
GAUGAACGCUAGCGGCAGGCUUAAUACAUGCAAGUCGAGGGGCAGCGCAGUGUAGCAAUACAUGGGCGGCGACCGGCAAACGGGUGCGGAACACGUACGCAACCUUCCUUUAAGUGGGGGAUAGCCCAGGGAAACUUGGAUUAAUACCCCGUAAUAUUAUGAAGUGGCAUCACUUUAUACUUAUAGCUCCGGCGCUUAAAGAUGGGCGUGCGACUGAUUAGGUAGUUGGCGGGGUAACGGCCCACCAAGCCUGCGAUCAGUAACUGGUGUGGGAGCACGACCAGUCACACGGGCACUGAGACGCGGGCCCGACUCCUACGGGAGGCAGCAGUAAGGAAUAUUGGUCAAUGGACGCAAGUCUGAACCAGCCAUGCCGCGUGGAGGAUGAAGGUCCUCUGGAUUGUAAACUUCUUUUAUUUGGGAAGAAACCCACUGUUUCUACGGUGGUUGACGGUACCAGAUGAAUAAGCACCGGCUAACUCCGUGCCAGCCGCCGCCGUAAAAC